GCUUGUUGCUCCUUUUGUCCAAUUCUUUGUUUGCGAUGAGAGGAAGCUGGACUCUGACUCCAGGAGGAGAGGCGAGCAACCCAGAAUCUGUUACUGUUCAGUUGGGUUCUGGAAUUCUGUAGACUCUUUCCAGGUUCUUGGUGUCCUGAAUAAAGAAUUGGGCCAAAAAAGUAGUGAGGAUGAAAGACAAGGUGGCCAGGCCCAAGCCUUGUAAUACAUCAAGUCAGUGUCACAGAGCUCCCAGUCCUCGCAGGCCGUGCUGGCUGCUGGGAGGCAUAGGUUACACAGAAGCAGCUGCCCUCAGUGCCUAUGAACUGGAUGAGUCUGCCUUGAAGAUGUGAGUGAUGUCCCAAGGUGUGGCUGUCCUAGAGCUGAAUCCUAAGUGGCCUAACCACCAGUCAAGGUGACAGGAGUUCAGAACAGCGAUUUUAGUGCUCUGUGGCAGAACAGGGCUCCCUCUGAUUCUUGCCUGGCGCCUGUCAACACCUUGGGAUUAGGCUGGCAGGGCCUGGGGGAUGGAAGCCCUGGCUUGCACCCCAAUGCAGAAGUGUAUAGAAAGUGGAGUCCGAAAGCUUCCAGAGAUGACUUGGCUUCCUAUAGGUCAGUUCCUUUGCAAUCCAUAAUAGCAGGCAUGGUCCAUUUGAUGGCUGGGGCUCCAGGAUGAUGGAUUCUCCUUGAAUGAAGAUCCCAGGAAGGGUUGGCUUCUGAGCACCAAGUUUAGUCUGCUGUCUUUUCUUAGGAAAGAGCCACCAAGUUGAGUCUGGUCUUAACCUAACCCUGACCCUGACCCUGACCCUGACCCUAACCCUAAUCCUAAUCCCGGCCUUUGCAUCCUAUCUGCUAGGCCUGGCUAUGGCAGCCCUGCUCAGAUGCCUGGAAGCAGCAGCUGUUUAUCUUUUUCCACUGACUUCAUCCACUACCAAGUAUAAUUGAUUGGUCCUCACUCAAGUGUGAUCACGGAGUGAGGACCAAUCUAGGUGUUAUGGCCACGGAGAGAGGGCCACACUGGACAUUUCGCAAAAGGCAACUGGGAGAUGUGCCCACAUUUCGCAGGGUGAAAUAGGAGUGUGAAGGUAAUGGAAAUCCCUCACAGCCCCAAGGGGCGUCCAGGCUUCCAAAGGGAGAGGCAGAGCCCAGUGUGGCUGGUGUCCCAUUGUGGACAGAACAGGGGCUGAGCCCACGACAGAUCAUGUUUCCAGUUUGGUUAAUCGGAAGCAGGAAUAAGAACACUCUGGGAUUACAAAUAACCGUUAAGACACAGACAGCCUUGACACGAGCCCCUUGCUUCUGCUGGCUGAGUCUGUGGACACACCCGUGACAACGUCCAGCUAUGAGGGAGCCUGGCAAGGGUGUGGUGGGCGCGACCGACAGCCCAGUGUGGCCCUCUCUCCAUGGACCACAUCCCGCAUCACAUUGUUCAAUAUCUUGAGCAUUAUUGCCAGCAUUUUCCUCCCAGUGU
rnacentral:lncRNA from 1 species